rnacentral:lncRNA from 1 species
AUGUGACCCCAACGCUGCCUCCCUCUCCACCCCACGAUGUUGGAAGAAACUCAACAGAGUCCUCAUCCCCAGUCUCAACGGGAAGCCAGGCCGAUGAGAACAGCCACUUGUCAUCAGGCUCUCCCUUUAGAAGUCACUGAAAGGGCCCCAGGAUACCAAGAACUAGCAGUAGCCCUGGACUUGAGCUCCACAACAAUCAAUCAACUCAAUGAAAACACCGAGUCAUUGCUUUGGGGCCCUGAAGAAAGGGUCUGGUCGAGCCGCUGUGAAGCAGUCCUCAAGCGGCAGUUAUGGCAGUCCAUAAAGGCUCGGGCACAGCUGGAAGCACACGUGACACAGAUGUUGGAACAAGUCCAGCUAGAGACAGAUGAAUAUACUCAACAUCUAAAAGGAGAGAGGGCCCGGUGGCAGCAGAGGGUAUGGAAAAUGUCAGAGGAGGGGCCCUCUGAGGUGGAACAGCAGCUACAAGCUGAGGCCGAGCACCCGAGGAAGGAGCAGGAGAGUCUGGCAGGACAGCUCCAAGCUCAGGUGCAAAACAAUCAAGGCUUGAGUCACCUGAACUGGGAGCAGGAGGAGAGGCUGCUGGAACGGGAGACGCUGCGGGAGCAGGAGAGGCUGCAGGAGCUGGAGGAGAAGCUGCAGGAGUAGGAGAGGCUGGGAGAGCGGGAGGAGAGUCUGCGGGAGCGGGAGGAGAGUCUGCGGGAGCGGGAGGAGAGGCUACGGGAGUGGGAGGAGAGGCUGCGGAGCAGGAGGACAGGCUGCUCGAGCUGGGGCGGAAAGCCAAGCUCUGGGAGGAGCAGGCAGAGACGUGCAUGCAGGCCCUGCGGAACCACACCACCAUCAACCACGUGCUCUCUCAGAACCAUGAGCUCGACUAGCAGCUGGCUGGGCCACAGAGCGGCUUAGAGGAGCUGGGUCUUCCUGCAGGUGAAGCUGAAGAGCCAAGAGGCUCAGAGUCUGCAGCAGCAGGGACACCAGUCCCUGGGUCACCUGCAGCAGUACGUGGCUGCCUAUCAGCAGCUGACCUCUGAGAAGGAGGCGCAGCACAGGCAGUUACUGCUGCAGACCCAGCUCAUGGACCAGCUGCAGCAGCAGGAAGCUUGGGGCAAAGUGCCCCCCACAGGAGAUGGAGGAGAACAUCUGGACAACGUGGAAGAGGAGGCUCAGCUUGGCCCAUGCUGAGCAUCCCGGAGGACCUGGAGAGCAGGGAGGUCAUGGCGAGCGUGGCGUUUUUCAACUCCGCUGGAGCCAGUGCCCAGGAGGAGCAGGUAUGGCUUGUGGCCUUGGCCCAGAAGGAGCCAGAGGUAGUGGAACCAGCCCCAGGGACUGGGGAUGAGUCUGUGUGUGGGUAGACUCAUCAGGCCCUGCAGGGAUCCAUGGAGAAGUUGCAGAGUGGCUUUAUGGACCUCCUGAAGGAGAAGGUGGACCUGAAGGAGUGGGUGGAGAAACUAGAGCUUCGAUCCAUCCACCUCUCAGGACAGGCAGACACCAUCAGAAAGUAAAUCACAACAUACGAGGGCCAGAGGGCAGCGCCAAAGACGCGGCACCAGGAGGAGGAGGACAUCAUCAGGCUGGCCCAGGACAAAGAGGAGAUGAAGAUGGGGCAUUGCAGCACCUCUGUGGGGGUGGGGGUGGGGUGGGUGUGAGCGUGGGCAGGGGCACUGGCACCAGCGUGGCAGCUGAGCACCCCUCCCUUCAGGUGAAACUGCUGGAGCUGCAGGAGCUGGUGUUGCGGCUUGCAGGCGAUCACAACGAGGGGCAUGGCAAAUUCCUGGCCGCUGCCCAGAACCCUGCUGAUGAUCCUGCUCCAGGGGCCCCAGCCCCUCAGGAGCUUGGGGCUGCUGACAAGCAGGGUGCGACAGCCUGGAGCCUGCACCAGGAGAGGCCAGGGAGGGUUGUCCCCAUGACAACCCCACUGCACAGCAGCUCAUGCAGCUUCUUCCUGUGAUGCGGGACCCCCAGGAGUACCCAGGCUUGGGCAGCAGUCCCUGCAUGCCAUUCUUUUACCAGGCUGCCAAGAACAGGGAGCUAAACAUCACCAUCAUCUAA